rnacentral:rRNA from 1 species
UACGUAGGGGGCAAGCGUUGUCCGGAUUUAUUGGGCGUAAAGAGCGUGUAGGCGGCCAGGUAGGUCCGUUGUGAAAACUCGAGGCUCAACCUCGAGACGUCGACGGAAACCAUCUGGCUAGAGUCCGGAAGAGGAGAGUGGAAUUCCUGGUGUAGCGGUGAAAUGCGCAGAUAUCAGGAAGAACACCGAUGGCGAAGGCAGGUCUCUGGGCCACUACUGACGCUGAGAAGCGAAAGCAUGGGGGAGCGAAACAGGG